GAUGAACGCUGGCGGCGUGCCUAAUACAUGCAAGUCGAGCGAACAGACGAGGAGCUUGCUCCUCUGACGUUAGCGGCGGACGGGUGAGUAACACGUGGAUAACCUACCUAUAAGACUGGGAUAACUUCGGGAAACCGGAGCUAAUACCGGAUAAUAUAUUGAACCGCAUGGUUCAAUAGUGAAAGACGGUUUUGCUGUCACUUAUAGAUGGAUCAGCGCCGCAUUAGCUAGUUGGUAAGGUAACGGCUUACCAAGGCAACGAUGCGUAGCCGACCUGAGAGGGUGAUCGGCAACACUGGAACUGAGACACGGUCCAGACUCCUACGGGAGGCAGCAGUAGGGAAUCUUACGCAAUGGGCGAAAGCCUGACGGAGCAACGCCGCGUGAGUGAUGAAGGUCUUCGGAUCGUAAAACUCUGUUAUUAGGGAAGAACAAAUGUGUAAGUAACUAUGCACGUCUUGACGGUACCUAAUCAGAAAGCCACGGCUAACUACGUG
rnacentral:rRNA from 1 species